GCCAUCGGCCAUACCAUGCUGAAUGCGCCGGUUCUCGUCCGAUCUCCGAAGCUAAGCAGCAUUGGGCUCGGUCAGUACUUGGAAGGGAGACCACCUUGGAACACCGAGUGCUGGUGGCA
rnacentral:rRNA from 1 species